rnacentral:rRNA from 1 species
UACGAAGGGGGCUAGCGUUGCUCGGAAUUACUGGGCGUAAAGGGCGCGUAGGCGGUGUGUCAAGUCAGGCGUGAAAGCCCCGGGCUCAACCUGGGAACCGCGCUUGAGACUGGCACGCUCGAGUUCGGGAGAGGAUGGUGGAAUUCCCAGUGUAGCGGUGAAAUGCGUAGAUAUUGGGAAGAACACCGGUGGCGCAAGCGACUCGCUGGGCCAUUACUGACGCUGAGGAACGAAAGCUAGGGGAGCGAAUGGG